UAAAUCUCAUUUUUAUUCCAACAUUUUACUCCCGCUCGGUGAGUACCUUCUCAGUGGCAUUCUUGUCCUAUUCUUUUUUUUUUCCUUUUUUUUGUUUUUGUUUUUUGUUUUUUUCUUCUUCUUCUUCUUUUUUUUCUUCCCACUUCUUUGAUUAUUGUUUGUAUUUGGGAAAGCUGACGAGCAUAGUCUUAAGCCUUUUCCUCAAUCAAGUUUUCCUAGCAUGCGAUGGUUCUCUAGACAAGGCGCUGUGUCUGGGAGUCCGCGGCAGCGGUGCUCUCUGUGAGCGGCUCCCAAGUCCAGCAAAAUGUGCAACUGGUUUUAUGGAAAAAGCGUUGUGAAGUAUGGUGCCUAUUUUUUUUCCCUUUGUAAAGAUAAGAAAGCAUGUUUCUAACUCUUUUUUUACGUACUCUUUUUCCGAUUGCAUUUUUGUGUAGGUGGGAUUUUCCAGCAGUGUUCACAAGUUUGUCGCCUUGCAAUUCGAUUCGCACCACUGAGCAAAGACAUUCAUUUUGCAUUUUUAUGACCUUUUUGGAAGCCUGUGAGAAAUAUUUCGUUUUUUCCCCUCCUGUUUUUGAUAUCAGUUGAUAACAUGAAACUUUUCUUGCAGCUAGUUAAAGGGGUUAUUUUUAAGCAAUUGCUUUUUUCCUCCUUUACAUUAACUAUUACUUUUGCACAUUUGACUUUUUUAUUUAAAAAACCCGAGAUAAUUUUAUGAUAGAUAUCCUGAUAUCUAUAUUAUCCCUUGUUCCUCCUUCUCCCCUCCCCGUAAAUCAAUUUUCAAACCAUGGCAGUGGAAGGUUUUUCUGGAAAAAAAAAAAAUGAAGUGCGGUUUGGUUUCCUUGUCAACGGAGGAUGAAGUGAACAGCACAACAGCUCGCAGAGAGCAGGUACUUGGCCCCCUCGGUGGCGUACCCCGGGUGUGUGAUGGCAACGCUGGCCAAGAAGUCUGUGUGCGCGCGUGUGUGCGUGUGCGAGGGUGUGUGCGCGUGUGCGCGCCGGUUCUGGGCUGUGUCCGAGCCCGCAAUAGGGAAAGACGCGCCGGAAGCCAGAACAAAAGUGCUCUCUGGGCCGCGAUGGUUUUGAAGAUGCGAACACCCUGUCCCCUGGUGGCGCCUAGGUUUGGGUGGCUGCAGGGGAAACCAGAGCACAGCGGGCGGUCCAGCAACCGGAGCUCGAGGUGUCUAGGAUGGCAGCAGUCCCUGAGCGCUGCUCUCUCGCCUCUGCGACCCGCGGAAGCAGCGCAGUGGGUUCUUCCCAACCGCCUCCGCUAGCUCCGGCAGCUUCACGUCUUCCGUGUUGUCUCCCUCAUGCUUUCCUGGCGGCGUCGCUUUGCUUUUAAACCCUUGCUGGUGUCUUCCAAGGAGAGGGAAUGGUCACUUGUACUGGUGCAUACUUAGGUUUAAUGGGACGACGCCUACAAGGUACAAAAUUAUCCUUUCUUUAAAAAUAGACUGUUUCUUUUUUAACCACCAGAUACUGAUUGUAUAGGUGCCCCCUACCCCAGGCCGACGAUUGAGUAGGGCAAAGGGCCAUUGAAGGUGGCCACUGAUGUAGUGCUGAAGUACUGAGGGUUGAAAUGUCAUCUAUAGUGUUUGAGUGCCCUGUUGCAUGUCUCCAUAAACCCAGCAGUACUUUUCAGAGAUGCACUGGCUGGCAAUUAAAAAAAAAUUUUUUUUUUCUCUACUUUUCACAGUAACAGAAUCUGUGGGAGAAUUUAGUUCCCAAAUAAGUAUAGGGAAGACAUAGACUAAAUCUUAACCUCUGGAGAGGGACUACAACUAUUUGAGUAGAUGGAUUCCGAACCUUUCAUUUUCUUUUCCAACCUUAAAUGAGUUAGUUCACUGCUAAAUUUCUCACAUACACUGUUUGGGUUAUGGUAAAAUAAAUGAAUUAUAUUGUUUUUGCCUUAUUAAGUUUUCUUCUAGGUUAUCUUAAAAAAAUUUAAAAACUAAACUUUGGAAAACAAGGACCUAUAGCAAAAGAAUGAAUAACUUAUCCUAUAGGCUUCCAACUGAAUGUUUUAUUGAAUUUCUAUGUGUGCAGCUUGUGACAUGAAAAGUUUGGUGUUUGUGUAUUAUGCUUUGCAGUGAAAUAAGGAGGAAAGACUCUGAGGGAAGUCUUGCAAUGCAAUAUGCAUUUUGCCUGUGCCACACCUAUAUAACUCUAAAAUUCUUGCAAGUUGCAUACAUAUGAGAUUGUUCAUUCAUUCAUUCUUUUAUAGCCAGACAACUUCUCAUUAAGAAGUCUCAUUGCAUUUUUGAGUGAGAAGAUCGUUUUACUCUCUCUAAACACCAGUCUAUUGCUUGAAGUGCAUAGUUCUAAAAUUGAAGCUUAUAACUCUAAACAAAAAUAUAAAAUUUCUUAUUUUGUACUGUGAGCUCAUAGCUCAAAUAUGGAUUUUCAUAUGGAUCAGAGAGCAAACAAAAAUACUUAUCAAACUCAUUUAUAAUAUACCAUGUUCUUUGUUUGAUAUAUAUAGAAAUGCUCAUUUAAAAUGAUGUGCAUGGAUAAUACUUUUAAUCAGUCAUAUGAUAACAAAACUUUUAGUCCUUUG
ensembl:lincRNA